GCCUGGCUGGCUCAGUCGGUUAAGCUUCCGACUUCGGCUCCGGUCAGGAUCUCACGGUUCGUGGGUUCGAGCCCCGUGUUGGGCU
rnacentral:tRNA from 1 species